rnacentral:rRNA from 1 species
AGAACGAACGCUGGCGGCGUGCCUAACACAUGCAAGUCGAACGUGAUCCAUCCUUCGGGGUGGUGAAAGUGGCGCACGGGUGAGUAACGCGUGGAUAAUCUGCCCGAGGAUUUGGGAUAACAUCUCGAAAGGGGUGCUAAUACCGAAUAAGCCCACGGGGUCUACGGAUCUUGCGGGAAAAGGGGGGGACUUUCGGGCCUCCUGUCUUCGGAUGAGUCCGCGUACCAUUAGCUAGUUGGUAGGGUAAUGGCCUACCAAGGCGACGAUGGUUAGCUGGUCUGAGAGGAUGAUCAGCCACACUGGAACUGAGACACGGUCCAGACUCCUACGGGAGGCAGCAGUGGGGAAUUUUGCGCAAUGGGGGAAACCCUGACGCAGCAACGCCGCGUGGGUGAUGAAGGCCUUCGGGUCGUAAAGCUCUGUCUGGAGGGAAGAAAUGAUUGGGAGCUAAUACCUCUUGAUCUUGACGGUACCUCUGAAGGAAGCACCGGCUAACUCCGUGCCAGCAGCCGCGGUAAUACGGAGGGUGCAAGCGUUGUUCGGAAUUAUUGGGCGUAAAGCGCGUGUAGGCGGUCUUUUAAGUCUGAUGUGAAAGCCCCGGGCUCAACCUGGGAAGUGCAUUGGAAACUGGGAGGCUUGAGUACGGGAGAGGAGACUGGAAUACUUGGUGUAGCAGUGAAAUGCGUAGAUAUCAAGUGGAACACCAGUGGCGAAGGCGAGUCUCUGGACAUUUCCUACCGCUAGCCC